UACGGCUCAGUAACACGUGGACAACCUACCCUUGGGACGGGGAUAAACCCGGGAAACUGGGUAUAAUACCCGAUAGAUCUUCGGAAGCUGGAAUGCAUCGAGAUCGAAAGCUCCGGUGCCCAAGGAUGGGUCUGCGGCCUAUCAGGUAGUAGUGGGUGUAGCGUACCUACUAGCCUACGACGGGUACGGGUUGUGAGAGCAAGAGCCCGGAGAUGGAUUCUGAGACACGAAUCCAGGCCCUACGGGGUGCAGCAGGCGCGAAAACUUUACAAUGCUGGAAACAGCGAUAAGGGGACCUCGAGUGCCAGGUUACAAAUCUGGCUGUCGUAAUGCCUAAAAAGCAUUUCAUAGCAAGGGCCGGGCAAGACCGGUGCCAGCCGCCGCGGUAACACCGGCGGCUCGAGUGGUAACCGUUAUUAUUGGGUCUAAAGGGUCUGUAGCCGGCCGGAUAAGUCUCUUGGGAAAUCUGGCAGCUUAACUGUCAGGUUUUCAGGGGAUACUGUCUGGCUCGAGGCCGGGAGAGGUGAGAGGUACUUCAGGGGUAGGGGUGAAAUCUUGUAAUCCUUGAAGGACCACCAGUGGCGAAGGCGUCUCACCAGAACGGACCUGACGGCAAGGGACGAAAGCUAGGGGCACGAACCGGAUUAGAUACCCGGGUAGUCCUAGCCGUAAACGAUACUCGCUAGGUGUCGGCCACGGUGCGACCGUGGUCGGUGCCGUAGGGAAGCCGUGAAGCGAGCCACCUGGGAAGUACGGCCGCAAGGCUGAAACUUAAAGGAAUUGGCGGGGGAGCACCACAACGGGUGGAGCUUGCGGUUUAAUUGGAUUCAACGCCGGAAAUCUUACCGGGACCGACAGCAAUAUGAAGGCCAGGCUGAAGACUUUGCCGGAUUAGCUGAGAGGUGGUGCAUGGCCGUCGUCAGUUCGUACUGGUGAAGCAUCCUGUUAAGUCAGGCAACGAGCGAGACCC
rnacentral:rRNA from 1 species